UGUUUGUGUGUGUUUGUAUGUGCGUGGGGGAGCCCCUCGAUUGUGUUCUGUCCUCACUCACUCCUACAAUCCAAACCCUAAUCCUUCUCUGUUCUAUUGCUUUUUUUGUUGGAUUCCGUUGAUUAAUUAUCAUUUAUGACCAUGUGAUACAUAAUUCAGUGAAAAGAACAAGAUAACUCAAUCUUGAGUGAUGCGUGAAGCUUGUUGAUCACCACGGGUCCGGGAUUUGCUUAAAUGAGCUGUUUUCAUUCACCAACAUAACUUCAGGUUAGGAGAUUUUACUCUCAAAGUUCAUUGAUCACGUAUUGAUAUUGUUGUCCAAUGUUCUUCUAUUUUGCUGUUGCUCAAAACUAGUCAUGCUGAUUCUGUAAAUGGUGUAGUUUUUGCCUGAA